rnacentral:misc_RNA from 1 species
GCGAUUCAUACCUGGCAAAAUGCGUGAAAUGCACGCAUUCUGCGCGAGUGAGGGAUAAUUUUCGAGGCCUACAACAGUUAAAAAAUGUUGAAAUGACAAUUCUACUCUUAAUGAAUCUUUUUUUAUAUUAACUAAAAUUAAUUUUAAUUUUUUUUAGUUUCAAAAUGACGUGUAAGAUAUUUAAAAAAAAAGACGUGUAAAAUGUUUA